GAUGAACGCUGGCGGCGUGCCUAAUACAUGCAAGUCGAGCGAACAGAUGAGGAGCUUGCUCCUCUGACGUUAGCGGCGGACGGGUGAGUAACACGUGGAUAACCUACCUAUAAGACUGGGAUAACUUCGAGAAACCGGAGCUAAUACCGGAUAAUAUAUUGAACCGCAUGGUUCAAUAGUGAAAGACGGUUUUGCUGUCACUUAUAGAUGGAUCCGCGCCGCAUUAGCUAGUUGGUAAGGUAACGGCUUACCAAGGCAACGAUGCGUAGCCGACCUGAGAGGGUGAUCGGCCACACUGGAACUGAGACACGGUCCAGACUCCUACGGGAGGCAGCAGUAGGGAAUCUUCCGCAAUGGGCGAAAGCCUGACGGAGCAACGCCGCGUGAGUGAUGAAGGUCUUCGGAUCGUAAAACUCUGUUAUUAGGGAAGAACAAAUGUGUAAGUAACUAUGCACGUCUUGACGGUACCUAAUCAGAAAGCCACGGCUAGCUACGUG
rnacentral:rRNA from 1 species